GCCCCAGACUCCUACGGGAGGCAGCAGUGGGGAAUAUUGGGCAAUGGGCGCAAGCCUGACCCAGCAACGCCGCGUGAAGGAAGAAGGCUUUCGGGUUGUAAACUUCUUUUAAGAGGGAAGAGUAGAAGACGGUACCUCUUGAAUAAGCCACGGCUAACUACGUGCCAGCAGCCGCGGUAAUACGUAGGGGGCAAGCGUUAUCCGGAUUUACUGGGUGUAAAGGGAGCGUAGACGGCGCUGCAAGUCCGGAGUGAAAGCCCAUGGCUUAACCAUGGUACUGCUCUGGAAACUGUGGAGCUUGAGUGCGGGAGGGGCAGGCGGAAUUCCUAGUGUAGCGGUGAAAUGCGUAGAUAUUAGGAGGAACACCGGCGGCGAAGGCGGCCUGCUGGACCGUAACUGACGUUGAGGCUCGAAAGCGUGGGGAGCAAACAGGAUUAGAUACCCGUGUA
rnacentral:rRNA from 1 species